ACGGCUCAACCGUGGAGGGUCAUUGGAAACUGGGGGACGUUGAGUGCAGAAGAGGAAAGUGGAAUUCCACGUGUAGCGGUGAAAUGCGUAGAGAUGUGGAGGAACACCAGUGGCGAAGGCGACUUUCUGGUCUGUAACUGACGCUGAGGCGCGAAAGCGUGGGGAGCAAACAGGAUUAGAUACCCUGGUAGUCCACGCCGUAAACGAUGAGUGCUAAGUGUUAGGGGGUUUCCAAUGACCCUCCACGGUUGAGCCGU
rnacentral:rRNA from 1 species